GUUGUACUCAAACGCCCUGCCAAUACUUUUUUUUUCUUUUCUUUUCUUUUUUUUUAAUUUUUUUGUUUCGUUUCUAAUUAUUUAAUUAAUUAAUUUUAAAUUCUUUUGUUUAUAUAAGCAAAAUUACAGUGUCUACAAGCACUAGAUCUAGUGCUCCCUUGGGGAGCCCGAUCGAGAGUUUUUUUUUUCAAAUUAAUAAAAA
rnacentral:lncRNA from 1 species